rnacentral:rRNA from 1 species
AUUGAACGCUGGCGGCAGGCUUAACACAUGCAAGUCGAACGAGUGGCGGACGGGUGAGUAAUGCUUGGGAAUCUAGCUUAUGGAGGGGGAUAACUACGGGAAACUGUAGCUAAUACCGCGUAACAUAGGAUGAGCCCAAGUUGGAUGAGGUAUUUGGUGGGGUAAAGGCUCACCAAGCCGACGAUCUCUAGCUGGUCUGAGAGGAUGACCAGCCACACUGGGACUGAGAGACGGCCCAGACUCCUACUGGAGGCAGCAGUGGGGAAUAUUGCGCAAGGGGGGCAAACGUACACAGCCAUGCCGCGUGUAUGAAGAAGGCCUUCGGGUUGUAAAGUACUUUCAGUCGGGAGGCGUUACCGACAGAAGAAGCACCGGCUAACUCCGUGCCAGCAGCCGCGGUAAUUC